rnacentral:lncRNA from 1 species
UGUGUGUGAAUAAAACUGUUUGUUUUUAUUUUCUUAAAGAUCGUCCCAGAAGUUGUACGGAGGCUGGAUUACGGAGACUGGAAGGGCGUGUGUCAUUCAGAGAAGCUUCUUCGGGUGACCAGGAGGCAGUAACUCACAGCAGGCUCAACAGAAUCUGUACAGAAAUUGAGUAAAUGUGAGAGGAAGCAAGGAGGCGGGUGGCAACUCGUGGGUCUUGGGUUUGAGCACGAAUGUUCUUCCUGAGAUAAGAACAAGCCUCGGAAAAGAAGCAAAAAUAAAGGGAAAGAGGCAGCCUCGGCGACCCGCGUCGCCUGUCUCGGAGCCCGGUGUGAGGCUGCCCCCUUGUGGCCGCUGACGCUCAUGACCCGCUCCGUGAUCCUAAAUCAAUUUUUUUUUAAUUACGACACACAGCUGGCUUUAUUUGCUCCUUUUUUUUUUUUUCCUUAAAUAAGCAUAAUUUAUAGAACUCAGUCCCAUCGAUUGUCAUGAAGGAACUUCGAAAAACGAAGACGUGAAAAAUCUCUAGAUAACUUUAACCACCACCACAUCAAAAGUUUUUCUUUGAAAACGUGUUGCUCUAUCACCCAGUUCUAGCUUUGAUGCGUACGGGUAACAGAUUCGGAUAAGUACCUAGUGU